UACAGAGGGGGGCAAGCGUUAUUCGGAAUUAUUGGGCGUAAAGGGCGCGUAGGCGGCUUCGCAAGUGGAAGGUGAAAUCCCUCGGCUUAACCGAGGAACUGCCCUCCAAACUGCGUUGCUUGAGGCCGGGAGAGGUGAGUGGAAUUCCCAGUGUAGCGGUGAAAUGCGUAGAUAUUGGGAGGAACACCAGUGGCGAAGGCGGCUCACUGGACCGGUACUGACGCUGAGGUGCGAAAGCGUGGGGAGCAAACAGG
rnacentral:rRNA from 1 species